rnacentral:misc_RNA from 1 species
CGGGUUCUGUUCCUCUCGUGCGGCGCCCUACAUCCUGGUGGCCUAACUUCUCGCACGGGAGCUGGCUCUGUUUCGGGUCGUGGCCUGAAGCAACCGGCGCCCACCUGGUUAUCCAGGCUGCGAGGAUUAGACGCGCUCACGGUCGCAACGGGCCCGCC